rnacentral:rRNA from 1 species
GGUCUAAGUAUAAGCAAUUAUACAGCGAAACUGCGAAUGGCUCAUUAUAUAAGUUAUCGUUUAUUUGAUAGUACCUUACUACUUGGAUAACCGUGGUAAUUCUAGAGCUAAUACAUGCUGAAAAUCCCGACUCCGGAAGGGAUGUAUUUAUUAGAUUCAAAGCCAAUGCCCUCCGGGCUCACUGGUGAUUCAUGAUAACUCCUCGAAUCGCACGGCCUUGCGCCGGCGAUGGUUCAUUCAAAUUUCUUCCCUAUCAACUUUCGAUGUUUGGGUAGUGGCCAAACAUGGUUGCAACGGGUAACGGAGGGUUAGGGCUCGACCCCGGAGAAGGAGCCUGAGAAACGGCUACUACAUCCAAGGAAGGCAGCAGGCGCGCAAAUUACCCAAUCCCGACACGGGGAGGUAGUGACAAUAAAUACUGAUACAGGGCUCUUUUGGGUCUUGUAAUUGGAAUGAGUACAAUUUAAAUCCCUUAACGAGGAACAAUUGGAGGGCAAGUCUGGUGCCAGCAGCCGCGGUAAUUCCAGCUCCAAUAGCGUAUAUUAAAGUUGUUGUGGUUAAAAAGCUCGUAGUUGAACCUUGGGCCUGGCUGGCCGGUCCGCCUCACCGCGUGUACUGGUCCGGCCGGGCCUUUCCCUCUGUGGAACCCCAUGCCCUUCACUGGGCGUGGCGGGGAAACAGGACUUUUACUUUGAAAAAAUUAGAGUGCUCCAGGCAGGCCUAUGCUCGAAUACAUUAGCAUGGAAUAAUGAAAUAGGACGCGCGGUUCUAUUUUGUUGGUUUCUAGGACCGCCGUAAUGAUUAAUAGGGACAGUCGGGGGCAUCAGUAUUCAAUGGUCAGAGGUGAAAUUCUUGGAUCCAUUGAAGACUAACUACUGCGAAAGCAUUUGUCAAGGAUGUUUUCAUUAAUCAGGAACGAAAGUUAGGGGAUCGAAGACGAUCAGAUACCGUCGUAGUCUUAACCAUAAACUAUGCCGACUAGGGAUCGGACGAUGUUAUUUUUUGACUCGUUCGGCACCUUACGAGAAAUCAAAGUGCUUGGGCUCCAGGGGGAGUAUGGUCGCAAGGCUGAAACUUAAAGAAAUUGACGGAAGGGCACCACCAGGGGUGGAGCCUGCGGCUUAAUUUGACUCAACACGGGGAAACUCACCAGGUCCAGACACAAUGAGGAUUGACAGAUUGAGAGCUCUUUCUUGAUUUUGUGGGUGGUGGUGCAUGGCCGUUCUUAGUUGGUGGAGUGAUUUGUCUGCUUAAUUGCGAUAACGAACGAGACCUUAACCUGCUAAAUAGCCCGUACUGCUCCGGCAGUGCGCCGGCUUCUUAGAGGGACUAUCGCUCAAGC